GACUGCCGGUGUUAAGCCGGAGAAGUGGGGAUGACGCCAAGUCCUCAUGGCCUUUAUGCCCAGGGCUACACACGUGCUACAAUGGGCGGUACAAAGAGAAGCAACCUCGCGAGGGUGAGCAAAUCUCAAAAGCCGUUCUCAGUUCGGAUUGAAGUCUGCAACUCGACUUCAUGAAGUCGGAAUCGCUAGUAAUCGCGGAUCAGCAUGCCGCGGUGAAUACGUUCCCGGGCCUU
rnacentral:rRNA from 1 species